GAGAUGUUCAAAUGUCAAAUAGUUGUUUCAAAUAAACAAAUAAAAUGCAGAAAAGAAGAGAGAAUCGACAGGAUUCAUUUGGGAAAUCCUCCGAGAAAUUCAGAGCAAAUAAAUAAUUACAAGAAAAAAGGAAAAGCUGGGACAGAAUGCCAAAGCCAUAAGUCAUUCAGGCUAAUCUUAACUUUAAAUUGGCCUUUAUAGGGAAGAAUGUAAAACUGGCCCCAGUUUACAUUUCUGAAAUUAAAAUCCAACUUUAUUUAUGCUCCAAAAACUUCUUAAACCCCCCCAAAAACCAGACAAAAUGUUCAGAAUGUUUAUUUUUUUCUUAAUGUUUUAAAUGGAUAUUGUUUUCCAGUUAAUAACUUUAGCAGUCAAACUAUUUUUUCUGUUUUUUUAAUUUAAUCAAGAAUUGCAUACUUGUAAUACCUGUGAUCAAAAUGAUUUCCUUGUGGUGUGAGUGCAGGUGUUUGCAGAGGAGGUGUGUUUGGAGACUGGCUGGAUCUGACACAUCUCUCAGACUCCUAACGGGGGCGGUCCCUGAUGGAGCCCCGCCCAGCUCCAGUCGAUGCAGCAAGACGUCUCCCCAAGUUUCUGGGCUUCAGGAACCGCCAUCGUCUUUCUUGGAAUCCCGUCCAUGUCGAUGGUCAGUUAUGGAAUCCCAGAACGCCCUGCUGAGCAUCUCCUGACACCUGAAUCCAUCCACACUUCCUUCAAUAAAUCUGUGUUCUUCUUUA